UAAAAAUCUUUGUAUCGGUUAUCCUUCGCGUUACGUUAAGGAUGCGCAGUUUAUUUAUGAAGUGCAACAAGAACAUACACGCGGAUGACAUCAAAGUACUGCGAGAGCGACUCGAAAGAUCAUGGACAGCAUUCUGAUUUCAAAUCACUCUCGCGGUAUUUUAACGUCAUCCGUUUGUCAGUUCCUGCAACUCAACAUUACGUUGAACACCUUGUCAAAAAUGAUUGAGAUGGCCAAUCAAAUCAAAAAAGGCGAGUGCCACUGGCCAAUCACGAGGUUUCCUGUUAACGGAAGCCGAGCGGCGGCCAAUCAAAUUAACCAAUAGGCGGGGUUACCGUCGGAGUAGCAGUUACACCGCGUCAAUCAAUCAUAACGGACACAGAUUUCAAAGGCAGCAGGAUGAAAGAUAACCAGUAAGUACCUGAACUUAAAUAUUUAAACUUUUCCAAUCAUAAAAAUGUUUUUGUUUAAAUGUCUAACAAACGUAUUAAGGGAUGCAAACGUUUACGUGAUUCGUGUGUAACGUAUGUGUGACAAUUAACGUUAUAUUGAUAUUAAAUUAGCUGUUUUCUAUCAGGUUAAAAAUAACUGUGGUCAUAUUAUAAUGAAGUAAUCGAAUUUGGUUAUCUGGUCUUCCUGAUGUUAGAACAUUUAUAUAAAAACAUAUUUAAAAAUGUAUUUCUGUAACGUUUAAUUUUCUUUUUUGGUGAAAUUGUGUCUGUGUUCAUCAAGACAUGAAGACUCUGGAGUGGGACAAGAAGGAUGAAGGAUGAUGGGGUGUAUAUUCCAAUAGACACAUCAAGUCACAUUGUGAUUUCAGUGAAAGCUGAUAAAUACAGAGGGCUGGGCAGUGGUUUCAUUGAUUAAGUAAAGAGGUGGGACAAUGAUGCUGACAGGACAGGAGGAGGUGACAUUCAGACAUUCAGCACAGACAUUUUCAUCCAAAGCAACUUGAGGAAGAAAACAGAAGCAGUUCAUCCUAAAAAGUGGGCUGCUGUAAUGUUUACAUCUAUGGAAAGAGGAGCUGAGAAGAAAAGAGAGGCUGGAAAGCACUACUUCUUGUUGAGGACAAUCCUGAAUAGGAACACUUUCUCAUACACAUAGAUUAUUAUUAGUGUUUGAUUUUUUUCUUUAUGAAUUGUAUUGUUUUAAUUUUUCGUUUUAUUUGAAAUUACCUAAGUUAGAUUCAUGCUAAUACUUUAACUGAAACUUGUAUCUUUGCUGGCUGGCUGUAGAGUUGGUUUCACAUACACAUGAAGUUUCUAAUUAACUAACUUUUAAGUUCAGUUUGGUUUAAACUUGUAUUUACCCAUGGUAAUUCAUUUAAAUUUCAAAUCAUGCUAAUAUAUUAAUUUCAAUGAACUUCUGUAUUUGUGUAUAGCUGGCAAUUUGGGCAAACUACAUUUCACACAUCAAUGUCAAAAAGUUUUUUUUUUAUUAUCAGUUUGUUCUAAACUUUUGUUUGUUUACUAAGGAUGAAAUUGCUUUGUAAUUUAAGUUGUUGGUGUUAGAUUCAUGCCAAUAAUGUAUUUGAACAAACUAGUAUUUUUGUUUAUUGCUGGCAGUUUAUACUAGAAGAGUUUUAACACAUACAAUGUUGUAGUGUUAUUGACUUGUGUGCUAUUGAUUAAUAAAAAGGCAAACAAUUUGAAA